rnacentral:tRNA from 1 species
UCCCUUGGCUCAGACAGUAAAGCUUCUGCCUACAAUGCAGGAGACCCAGGUUCAAUCCCUGGGUUGGGAA